CAUGCUAAUCUGUGAGAACAGAAACACAAAGCACAACAAGUGUAACGGUAACAGGUACUUUCAUUUGAGCUGUUUGGGCUUGACCCAAGUGCCUGCUGAAAAUCCCUGGUUCUGCCCCACUUGCAAGGCUGUGAAGACUAGUAAAAAGUGAAGUACCAUGACAGCAUAGGACGCAGCAUAGGGCACAAUGCCUAUUGUUUUCAGACAUUGAUGAUUAAGCCAAGUUGCUCAACGAUAUGAUUAAUUUAAAUCAUUCCCCCUAGGGAAUGAGUACCUGUUUAGUAUGUUAGAGUGGUUUUCCGUCAACCAUGAAAAGAAAUAGUACUCGUUAGUAGCAAUUAGUAGUAGUCAAUAUAGCUUUUAGACAUAUAGACUAUAGACAAAUAGCUAACCACUAAACAAAAAUUAACAUAAAAAACUUGUUUUUGUGAUGAAUAUGUUGAUACCUAUCAAUCGGAUACAGAACAUAAAGACGAAUUUUUGCAAGAGAAUGUAUGGUUGGCCGCGUGCUCGCCCCAGUCUAGUUGCACCCCUUCCAAGAUGUCGCCGGUAACCUUGAUUCGGUCUUUUAGUAUUGGUCUAUGACAAGCUACUACUAACUAUUAGACUUAUUGUGCUUUCAUGGUUGACGGAAAACCACUCUAUCUGAUCAAUCAUAUGCUUGUAAACCCCGGGAAUAUGUGAUUUGUUCGUCAAAAAAAAAAAAAAAAAAAAGCACGACAACAAACAAACAAAUUCAAAUAAACAUUCUGUACUCGUAUUCUUUUCUACUUGUGGAUCUGCAGGAUUCUUUGUA